CAGCCCCACCUCUGCUCCCUGAGCCCUGGUGUUCUCCUUUGUAAAGCGAGGUUGAAAUGAUGAUGUGAAUGCCAGUAUUUCGCCGAGGAACAGCUUCAUCUCAAGAUGUUGGGGCAUAAUUGCAGUUGGCAUCAUGUUCUAUAACGAGGCCUCGAUCUUAUCAACUUAGGACUAAGCCCGAUUAAUCAGUCCACUGAGAACCAGCAUCAGGGCCUGGGACACCAUGUGGAUUUCAGGAAGAAACAUCAACCAGUAAGCAAAUUUGUGUCAGCUCCACUGUGUGCAACAGCCAAGUCUAAUCAGAGAUCCUUCCUCACAA